CCUACGGGAGGCUGCAGUAGGGAAUAUUGCUCAAUGGGGGAAACCCUGAUGCAGCAACGCCGCGUGGAGGAUGAAGGUUUUCGGCUUGUAAACUCCUUUUGUUAGAGAAGAUAAUGACGGUAUCUAAAGAAUAAGCACCGGCUAACUCCGUGCCAGCAGCCGCGGUAAUACGGAGGGUGCAAGCGUUACUCGGAAUUACUGGGCGUAAAGGGCGCGUAGGCGGGAGAGCAAGUCAGAUGUGAAAUCCUAUGGCUCAACCACAGGACUGCAUUUGAAACUGUGUGGCUAGAGUAUGGGAGGGGCAGGUGGAAUUCUUGGUGUAGCGGUGAAAUGCGUAGAGAUCAAGAGGAAUACUCAUGGCGAAGGCGACCUGCUAGAAUAUAACUGACGUUGAGGCGCGAAAGCGUGGGGAGCAAACAGGAUUAGAUACCCGUGUAGUC
rnacentral:rRNA from 1 species